CCUACGGGCGGCUGCAGUGAGGGAUAGUGGUCAAGGGGGGAAACCCUGAACCAGCAACGCCGCGUGAGGGAAGACGGUUUUCGGAUUGUAAACCUCUGUCCUCGGGGAAGAGAAUGACGGUAGCAGAGGAGGAAGCUCCGGCUAACUACGUGCCAGCAGCCGCGGUAAUAAGUAGGGAGCAAGCGUUGUCCGGAUUUACUGGGUGUAAAGGGUGCGUAGGCGGCCUUUCAUGUCAGAAGUGAAAUCCAUGGGCUUAACCCGUGAACUGCUUUUGAAACUGUAGGGCUUGAGGGAAGUAGAGGCAGGCGUACUUCCCGGUGUAGCGGUGAACUGCGU
rnacentral:rRNA from 1 species